GCACUUUCACUUUGUCUUAGUUGCAGGAUCUUUCAUAAGAAUGGGGGAGGGGAGGGAAAUAAGGCUGGAGACCCAGAUAAAUAUCCAUGGCAAAGUGAGACUGAAAUAGUCUUUGUAGCGCUCAGACUUUAUUAACUCUUUGAUCAGGCACGAGGAAAAAAAAUCUGAUCAUAUCAUCACCUGCUAAGCAGAAAUUCACGGAUAACACACAGGGAUUCGGUGGCAUUGUGACUCGGUAGCACAACCUCUGUACUAUAUAUGGAGCAACUCUAAAUAGGUAACCGAUCUAAGUACAUAGGGGCAAUUGUUUAUAUCCUAUUGAACCUGGGUACUAAGCACCAUAACAGAGAUAGUUAGUUAAUUUCCUAUUGAAUAUCUGCAGCAAGCACCAGAACAGACAAACGCAUGGAUAGAUAGAAAUCAAUUUUAAAAUACAUAGAUAAAUGGACAGGGAGACAGUUGCUUCUAUACAAAUAUACACAUACAUAUAAACGCAUGUGUGAGAUGGGGACUUAUACACAUACAGUCAAACUAAGUAGAAACAUGGGGACACAGAUGCAUACAAAACUAUAUUCAGGAUUAAUUGCAGCAGCUUUCCCCCUCCACACACACUUUUUCAUGUUGCCACAUGCACACCCCUUCUGCCGCAGAAAUAAUAUAUGUCUCUAAAGCCGCAGGUGCUGAGAUGAUUGGAAAGUUGUAAAAAGCACCUAGACUUGACACUGUCCUGUUUAUAAACCUGGAAUAUAAUAAGAUUCCACCAACAAAGAUGCGCGCCUGGUCAAUUUCAAAGGCAGGCUGUAGAAUUCCAAUUGAUCAUGAUGUAGCAAUAUAAACCCUUAACUUAAAUAGUAAUCGAGGGGGAGACAGAAAGAAAGGGGUUGGGGGAAGGGACCUUUUACAGUUAAAAUGUGGAGAGCUGCCUUAUGAUUUCCAAAUAACGCAGACAUUAGGGGUCACACCUUUUGGUUGAGAAUAUAAAACAUAGUUGUUGAAUGUAGUUUAUGUGGCAUGUCUUGGAAAAGGUUUCCUCUCUCAAACCUUAUAAAGUACACAGGGAUAAUUCAUCAUCUAAAAACAUUAACAUCUUCUUAACAAGUGCAGAAAGGGCGUUUAUUUUUUUUAACAGCGUCCACAUUAUGAAUAGUUUGAAUAUGUGAUCUACCUAUGUAUGCUUAAAAGCUCCAGUAUAUUCGGAUUACUCACACCAUAAUGAAGAAUACCCCCGAUUAACUAUUUGCUCUUCGAGGGAUACAAGAAUACAACUAUUUAUUAGCUAGUUUGCUAUUUAUUUGAAAACACCCCUGCGAUGUAGGCUGAUGUGGAAUAGAUGAAUAUAAUGAUGAACUGCAGCUAAUUUUGCUGAAUAAUAUUUGAAAAAUGAGUGUAUCGCUGAUAGAGGAAGAUUCUAAAAUGUCCUUAUCAGAGCUAAGUCAUAAUAGCACAGUUAUAUUUCGAAAGUAGGAUGGUAUUAUUAAUCAUUAUUAUUCUAUUAUUUAUUAUUGUUUACAAAAUAGAAUAAAUCCCUCCUGCCAUUUUACUGCAGAUGUAAAUUUAUUUUAAUGAGCGGAGGGCGGAAAGAUUUAUGUUUACUAAAAUAAAGUUUGGGAUAGCCUCCGUGUAAAUCGUUAGAAAAGAGGGGGAGAUCUGUUUUUCUGGCAGAAACUUGCCUAAUAGUCCUCUAAUUCUUUAUAGAUUAAAUCGCAAUAGGAAUACAGCACCGAACAAAUACCGAGUUUCACUCUGAACUCAGUGGAAAGCAGUUACGUCUAACAGAAUGCAAUGAAUUCCUCUUCUCCCUGAAUAUAGUAUGUGUGUGUUUUUCUCUUCCACCACACUGAAGUUCCAUGAAUAGGGAAAGUGGCUCCUAUUGUGUGCCUCUGAACUUCCAAGUCAAUGCAAUUUUUAACCACUGGCUUGUGGUACUUUGAAAAUCACCAGGGGCUGUCAGAGUUGGGUCCUCUGAAAAAUUUACAGUGCUAAAUCAGAGCAUAUGCUGUGAGAGAGGGGAAAAAAAUUGCUUAAGAUUGGAGCAAGUACAGUAUCUGUCUGCCCCCUAGUGUAAGUCUCUUAUCUGCCUAAAAUUCAACUUUAAAAGAAAAGGAUCUCUUAAAGGGAAACGACUUUUGGCUCACGUAUGCAUACGAGAAUGAAACUUCUGUGCAUUUUAAUCUGAUUAAUUCCUAAGGAUUUAAAAUUAAUUGGCUUGGACACUCCUAGAUCGGACAGUAAGAUUUCUGCAUCAGGGUUUCUCCCAAGCCCUGUGUUGAAUAGGUAUUUUUAAGCGGGGGGGGGGGGGUGAUUGGUUUGUGAUUUUUUUUUUUUAAAAUGAGAAGCCAUGCCUCUCACGCUUUUGUCAGAACAGAGCAGUUUUGCUGCUUAAAGUCAGAUCUGCACCUUUUGCCAUAAAGAAGGAUAAAUAUUUGCCUUAAAGCUGCAGACCAGCUGCCAACCGCACCUUCCGAUGAAGGAAGAGCGUCUUGCUACACCUUGUUUGGAGCUGAAAAGACCCGAGACUUAAAAACCAAACCAAAACAAAGGGGGGGGGGGGGACAACAACAACCCCACAGCCCCCCCCCCCCAGUCCAGCCGGAAACAAUAUAGAUAAAUAAGAGUGAAAUCUCCUAACUUCGUGAGUGUUGUGGUCGGAUGUAUGCCCCCGAUUUCAAACCCGCCAAGAGAAAAACCGCAAACAGCUGCAGGCGAGCGAUCAGCACAUGCACAGAGAGGGAAUUAGGGGGGUGGGUGGGUGGGUGGUGAAGGGAUAGUGUCCUGGGAAGGGUCGGUAGGGAACGCAAGCACAUGCUAAAGCAAGCUGGAAAAGAAUCGGAGCUAACCGGGGAAUCUCUCUCUCUCUCUCUGCCCCUGAAAUCCCAGCUAGAAGGACUUACUCCACAUGUCUUUUUUCCCCAUUUUAAAAUAAAUAAGUCCAUCCAUAAAACCCGCUGUUGCUCAUUAAAACCUCUAGAAAGACAUUUCCCCAGCCCUUCACAAACAUGGCAACUUUAGAAAUGCAAAGCGCGGCUUUGGGGUUUUACUUUGUUAAUUUUUUUUAAAAAAAUUGAGGAUCCUGUUGCAAACCUGAGAUUACUCCCAUUUUCUACCCCCCCCCCAAAAAAAAAAAAACAGUCCUUCCUCCUUUCCUAAUGAACGAGACGCUAGCGCAGGGAGAGUUUGGGACAAUUUGGAAUACAUUAUGCUGCAUUUGGCAGUCUAGUACAGUUUUAAACUUAAUGGAUUCCUGCUUCUUCCUUUUUGUUUUAAGAAAAGAAUGGGACACACACACACACACACACACACACACGGAUCUUUUAUUUUAGGAAGCUGUUAUGGUAAGAAGUGUGUCAAACUUGACAAAUGGAACAAACCUUCUUCCACUCUUACUUGUCUUUGCCUUAAAACAGGAAUUAAGUUCACCACAGUUCUGAAUGUUAAUUGCAUGUUUACUGAGCUAAUGAAAAUUACAAAUGGGUUUUAGCUCCUCAAACAAGGAUGAAAAAACGAUGAAGGCAACUAUCAUCACAGCCUGGGGGGAGGAAUAAACGCACAAUAUUGCCCAGAAUGGUAAAUUUUUUAACUGUUCAUGAAUACCCUAACUAUUGUGGACACAAGUUUCCACUCCUGUGAAGUCUGAUCAGUACAUGGGAGAUGGAGACACAGUCCUGUUGAAUGAAUUUUUAUUAUUGCCAGAGGGACAUUCAGACUUCCCUUACCCCCAUGCAGUCCUCCCCACUCUGCAAAAUAAACCCCUUACGGGUGAGAAUUCUUAAGGUGUGCUGACAAGCAUAUGAUACGUAGUAAAGUAAUUUCCUCCCUUAGCCCAGCCUCCCCCUCCCCAUACACCAUCUUUCCCAAAUGUUCAUUUUCUAUCAAUCCCAAGGGUUGGGAGGGAGGGGGGCAGAGGACGGGAGAAUUAACCCUCCCCCCAGGUUUAUCCUUGCAAUCCAAGGAUGAAAGGAUGACCUAAUAAUUCAGUUUUAUGAUAACAAUUUUCGUGCUUGAAAACAAACUGCCCAUAAGGAAACAAGGAAGAGAGAUAGAGAGAGAUUGUGGACUAUACCUUUAAGGAUUCUCCCCCCCCGCUCCCGCCCCCCCUCCAAGGUGCUGCAUGGAGGGGAUUUAAUUAAACCGCCUAAAGAUGUUUUAAAUCUAAAAUAAAAAAUAAUUCCAGGGAGACGUUUUCCCUCUGCUGUGCAGCUCAGCGUUUGAAAACUUUGGCCCAAGUUGUAGCGACAGCCGCAACUCUGCUCUUCAGGGGUCAGAGUAUGAAGAUAGAAAUAUGUUAACUGCUGAGGCAGGUGGGUACAUUUUUGAUCAAGAGACUUCUGAUUCUGCAAUGAGGUCAGCUUGAGUGGACGCAGGCACUCAAAUGAAGUCCCAGAGGCUGGACAGAUUUGAUGAUGAAUUUUAGCAGACAGAAUCCCUGCCCACUGCAGCUGUGAAGCCCUGGGAAAUAAUCUACACAAAAGAAUUUCGGAAAUGAAAGCUGUCUCUGCUAUCUCAUAUUUAAUUAACACAGCCAAUAAGGUGCAAGUUCUUGUUGCCCAAUCCCCACCUUCAGUCAAGGAACAGGUAUGAGUAAUGCAUUGAAAGGAGAAAAUUAAAGACUAGAAGCUGUCAUUCCAGUCUAGAUUGUGAGACCCGCACUCAUGUUGGCCUCAUACCUUUGCUGUCCCAUCAAAAUCAAGAAGCAAGAAAUGGCAUAACUAAUGUGUACUGUCGAAAUCAAUGGAACUCCUUGGGAGCACAGUUCUACUCAAUGAGGAAAGCUGCUGCAUUCUGCAUAAGUGAGUUUAGUAACCUCCAUCUUCAACUCUGGAUACUGAGAACUGCUAAGGCCCAGCCUAGAAAUGAUGAACACAUAGAUCAUUGUGGUCAGAUCCUCAUCUAAGAAGGCUGAAGGUUGGCUGUCGUGGAGACCAGAGAAAAAGUAACCAAAAGAAAGGAAAAGAAACACUGGAGAAUAAAAGUACAUUUGAAAUGGAAGAAAUCUACAUUUCAAUGAAAAUACUUUUAAGCCAUUUCAAAUGACUGAGUGAAAUAAUUACAAAGUUUGGAAAUAGAGAACAGUAGCUUUGAUAUCUUUUUCUUCUGUGAAGCAAUUAAAAUAAGCAAUUUUUCAAAUACUAAGCAGAAAAUUGCUAAUGGCUGAACCCAAAAGCUUUCAUUUCAUUCUUGGGGUCUUUUUUCUUCUAAAAAAAGACCAAAAAAUAUUAAGGUGGUUUUCUAGAUAGAUUAGUGCAUAAAGCAGUUGUUAGUUGGAUGUCAUAAAAACUACAGCAGCACAGAAUAGCUGAGAUUAAGAGCCAGAUUUAAAUCAUGCAACAGUCCAGUUAAUAUCAAUGUAUAAUUAAGAAAAGCAUAAGAAGUCUGUAAUGGUGGUUUGAUGGAAAAAAACUCUAAUAGGGUUUCUUUCGGAAUUUUCCAUUUCAGUCGCUCUUGUAGAUAUAUAAUGGAUUUCCUACCCUGUCUUUGGCAUUCGCGGGAAUCAUCCAAAAGUUAAAAUCAAGCCCUAAAAUGGAACACAUGUAGACAAAUUAGCCUAUCUGGAGAGCGGUCUUUAUAGAAUGACAACUUGAGCUUACGCUCAAAAUUUAGUACAAAUGUCUCAGAUCUGGUGGGAAAACCCUAUUUGCCAUAUAAUCUUAAGCAAUGUAAUACUAACCCAUUUCCUCACCUUUCUAAUCCUGCUGAAAUUCCUAACAAUUCAGAAAUAUGAAACUAUGGGCGAUUAAACUUAACUAAUUAGUCUAUUUAAAUGGCAAGGUUUUCUCUAGUCAUGUAUAUUAGUAGUACAUUGAGGUGGGUUCUUCCAUUGCUGGCAGAGAGAUUUAGAGUCCACGGUUCCCCAUUAAUGUCAUGGAAUUUCAUGAAUCUCCCACUCUUCACAGGAUAACUAGAUCCCUUGAAUGAAACUAAAGGGGUGGCAUCUGCCGUACCAUACAAAUCAUCAAGGAAGUUUGGCCAACUACCCCGUAGGACAGAUGCUGCUUUUAUGGUUGUGCCUUGAAUGUCUAGGGUGCACUGAAGUUGUAAAAUUAAGGACAGCGUGUAGCUAUUUUAGCAUGUACACAACUGCCUAGCGGAGAGGAGAAAAGGACUGGCACUGGAUUAAAGCACAAUAUAUUUGUUGCCAUCACUUUGUUUUUGGCCCUAUGAAAGCUGGGGGAAUUAUCUCCAGAGUCCAGGAAGAUUGCAAACUCAAAAUAACCUGGUACCUCAGGAGCAAGCACAGAAGGGAAUCAUUUUAUAAGUCAUUAGAACAUAUUAGCCUAUAAUACACUGACUAGAGUAAAACAGAGUGCAUUAUUCCAUCUGUCUAUAUAUUCCUUUCCAAUACUAAAUCUGUCUGGAGACCUUUCAACAUUAUAUUAUUAAACACUGAAAGUUCUACAGUCACAUUCACCAUUACUACUUGAGUCAUCGUGGUCCAGAUCUUUUUAAAUGGUUGCUCAAGACAGAGCACUGGUGAUUCUGAGCGCAGCUUUCAAUAUAUUUAUGCAAUUCUUUGAAACAAAGUCAGUUAACUGAGUCUUUUCGAGCAACUGUUCAUAACAGAGGUAAGCUACACUGAUAAAACAUGAAAAAAGGGCUUUCAAACUUGUCCGACACAUGCACAGCAGAUAGACCCCAAAUGGGUGAGGAAACUUUCUCCACUCCUGCACAAAAGCCAUUCAUCUUUAGAGCUCACUUUAAUUGUGUUCCAGCCCCCUCACAUGGAACCCAACUGAGAAGACUGAAAUAAACCAAUACACCAGUUACCUAGUUACAGUAAGUCUAACAUAUACACAGAAAAGAUAGCAUUUCCUUUACUAAAGUCCAUUGCAAUUGAAAUUGCUCGAAGACGAGUAGGUGGACCAGGGGAUAGAUAAUGGGAUACAGAUCUUCUCAUUUCUAGGUCUCUAAUCAAGUGCAGCUAGACAGUGACGCAACAAGUAAUUAUCUAUCUGAUGAAAGGGAGAGGUAAUACUGUGGGACAUAUGGGUAUAUGCCUUUGGAUAUGAAAUCUGAGAGUUGAAUGGAAAUAUCUAGUUUGUACAAUCUGUCAGGAGACCUGCAAAGCCUAGUUUGGGUAUAAGAGGGAAGAAAAAGCAUUUUAACACUAGGUAAAUUUAGUUCUAUGAAGGAUCCUAGAGGGACAAUGGGAAUGAAGUCCCGUAUCUUGUGAUAAACUAUUUAGAUCUUUCCUAUCUGACUGCCUCCUCCUAUCAUCCUCCCAUUAUCCCUCCCCACCUCUUCCCUUUAUCUAUAUCGUCCUUGCCUCUUCUGCUCCCAUGCCUGCAAUUCCUUUUAGCAUCAUAUACCCUCCCACACUCAAAUAUAUACAAUAUUUUUGCAACACGUCUCCAUUUCCAUCUUUGUAUACACAUAUAUG